CCCUUGGACCCCAAGCAAACUUUUCAAUACAAAUAUACAAAUUGCAUUUCCAUUUCAGGAAAUUCAACAUCAGACAAUCAAAAACAAAUUCCGAUUUUCAAUUCUUCUCCUCCUCACUGCUUCGAACCAUCACCACCAUCAACGACCACUGCAACCACCAUCAACCACCAUCGUGACCACCUUGACCACCUCAUCCAACCACCCAGCCGCACCGUCGGGCUGUUUCAGUCAACCACCACCACCACACUCACCCCACCGUCCCCCCUGCUCCCUCUUUCCUGCCCGCAACUCCCCUACCCUCCUCUGCUUUCCAUUCUCUUUUCCCCCUCGCUGCGCCACCACCACCACCAUCUUAUCACCCCUCAAAUCCAUCUCCGCCCCACACUCCCCGGCGAGCCGCCGCUCCCAGAACCAGCCCGAAAACCUACACUCAAACUCCCCUGUUUCGUCUCCUCUGCUCGCCCCUUUCCCCUCUUCAUCGUUAAUCAUGCUGCCGUGAACCACCCUCACCGUCGCAUUACCGGCGCUUGCUUGCGCCGCCAUUCCACCCAGGUGUCGGCCACCUUCAGCCGACCACCACCCCACAACCCUCGCCUUUCCCUCCUUUGCUCGACCACCCUCUCCCCUUCCGUGAUGUUCCGCGCCGCCACAAACAACCACCAACAUCAUCGUCACCUCUGGUCGCAGUUCCGGGCGGCACCGAGCCACCCAGACCCCAGCCUCCUUCCUCCCUCCUCUCUCCCUCCUCUUCGUCCGUUUCCCCUGUUCUUGGUGCCCUGCUUCGUGCCCAGCUUCCCAAAGAAACGAGUUCCAGUUUAUUGGAACUUUGUACCCUUUUCUUUUUUUUACUCAAAUUAAAGCCCAAAUGUGUUAGGCCCAAAAUCCCAAAAAAUCGGACUUGGAGCUCAGGAAGAACGAUCCAUCAGACGGGAAGUAUAAAACGACAGUUGAGGUACUGCGGGGAUCGAUGGAAACGAGUAGAGGCGAGGAAUUUCACUUUAAUAAAAUUCACCUAGUUUAUGCUUAAAGUUAUAAUAGUUUAAUUAAAGACUUUUAGUAAGUUAUGUACUUUUAUUUUGAGAAUAUAGAGGAUUAUUAUAUUAUAUUGGAGGUUUUUAUGGCUUAUGUAUGAUGUUUCCUUGUAAUUUCCAAGACGGAAUUACGGCAGGUAAUGUCCCGACCAAAUUAGGUUAAUUCCGCUGCUUAUUAUGCUUUAAUAAGUGAUUUAGA